CAGUAGCCGCGGGAAUACGUAGGUGGCAAGCGUUGUCCGGAAUUAUUGGGCGUAAAGGGCUCGCAGGCGGUUUCUUAAGUCUGAUGUGAAAGCCCCCGGCUCAACCGGGGAGGGUCAUUGGAAACUGGGAAACUUGAGUGCGGAAGAGGAGAGUGGAAUUCCACGUGUAGCGGUGAAAUGCGUAGAGAUGUGGAGGAACACCAGUGGCGAAGGCGACUCUCUGGUCUGUAACUGACGCUGAGGAGCGAAAGCGUGGGGAGCGAACAGGAUUAGAUACCCCUGUAGUCCCUGUCUCUUAUAC
rnacentral:rRNA from 1 species